UACGGAGGGGACUAGCGUUGUUCGGAAUUACUGGGCGUAAAGCGCACGUAGGCGGAUCUGUAAGUCAGGGGUGAAAUCCCGGGGCUCAACCUCGGAACUGCCUUUGAUACUGCAAAUCUCGAGUCCGGAAGAGGUGAGUGGAAUUCCUAGUGUAGAGGUGAAAUUCGUAGAUAUUGGGAAGAACACCGGUGGCGAAGGCGGCCAUCUGGACCGCAACUGACGCUGAGGCGCGAAAGCGUGGGGAGCAAACAGG
rnacentral:rRNA from 1 species